UACGUAGGGCGCGAGCGUUGUCCGGAAUUACUGGGCGUAAAGCGCACGUAGGCGGCUUUCUAAGUCGGGGGUGAAAUCCUGGAGCUCAACUCCAGAACUGCCUUCGAUACUGGAAAGCUCGAGUCCGGGAGAGGUGAGUGGAACUGCGAGUGUAGAGGUGAAAUUCGUAGAUAUUCGCAAGAACACCAGUGGCGAAGGCGGCUCACUGGCCCGGUACUGACGCUGAGGUGCGAAAGCGUGGGGAGCAAACAGG
rnacentral:rRNA from 1 species